UUUAUGGAGAGUUUGAUCCUGGCUCAGGAUGAACGCUGGCGGCGUGCCUAAUACAUGCAAGUCGAGCGAACGGACGAGAAGCUUGCUUCUCUGAUGUUAGCGGCGGACGGGUGAGUAACACGUGGAUAACCUACCUAUAAGACUGGGAUAACUUCGGGAAACCGGAGCUAAUACCGGAUAAUAUUUUGAACCGCAUGGUUCAAAAGUGAAAGACGGUCUUGCUGUCACUUAUAGAUGGAUCCGCGCUGCAUUAGCUAGUUGGUAAGGUAACGGCUUACCAAGGCAACGAUGCAUAGCCGACCUGAGAGGGUGAUCGGCCACACUGGAACUGAGACACGGUCCAGACUCCUACGGGAGGCAGCAGUAGGGGAUCUUCCGCAAUGGGCGAAAGCCUGACGGAGCAACGCCGCGUGAGUGAUGAAGGUCUUCGGAUCGUAAAACUCUGUUAUUAGGGAAGAACAUAUGUGUAAGUAACUGUGCACAUCUUGACGGUACCUAAUCAGAAAGCCACGGCUAACUACGUGCCAGCAGCCGCGGUAAUACGUAGGUGGCAAGCGUUAUCCGGAAUUAUUGGGCGUAAAGCGCGCGUAGGCGGUUUUUUAAGUCUGAUGUGAAAGCCCACGGCUCAACCGUGGAGGGUCAUUGGAAACUGGAAAACUUGAGUGCAGAAGAGGAAAGUGGAAUUCCAUGUGUAGCGGUGAAAUGCGCAGAGAUAUGGAGGAACACCAGUGGCGAAGGCGACUUUCUGGUCUGUAACUGACGCUGAUGUGCGAAAGCGUGGGGAUCAAACAGGAUUAGAUACCCUGGUAGUCCACGCCGUAAACGAUGAGUGCUAAGUGUUAGGGGGUUUCCGCCCCUUAGUGCUGCAGCUAACGCAUUAAGCACUCCGCCUGGGGAGUACGACCGCAAGGUUGAAACUCAAAGGAAUUGACGGGGACCCGCACAAGCGGUGGAGCAUGUGGUUUAAUUCGAAGCAACGCGAAGAACCUUACCAAAUCUUGACAUCCUUUGACAACUCUAGAGAUAGAGCCUUCCCCUUCGGGGGACAAAGUGACAGGUGGUGCAUGGUUGUCGUCAGCUCGUGUCGUGAGAUGUUGGGUUAAGUCCCGCAACGAGCGCAACCCUUAAGCUUAGUUGCCAUCAUUAAGUUGGGCACUCUAAGUUGACUGCCGGUGACAAACCGGAGGAAGGUGGGGAUGACGUCAAAUCAUCAUGCCCCUUAUGAUUUGGGCUACACACGUGCUACAAUGGACAAUACAAAGGGCAGCGAAACCGCGAGGUCAAGCAAAUCCCAUAAAGUUGUUCUCAGUUCGGAUUGUAGUCUGCAACUCGACUACAUGAAGCUGGAAUCGCUAGUAAUCGUAGAUCAGCAUGCUACGGUGAAUACGUUCCCGGGUCUUGUACACACCGCCCGUCACACCACGAGAGUUUGUAACACCCGAAGCCGGUGGAGUAACCUUUUAGGAGCUAGCCGUCGAAGGUGGGACAAAUGAUUGGGGUGAAGUCGUAACAAGGUAGCCGUAUCGGAAGGUGCGGCUGGAUCACCUCCUUU
rnacentral:rRNA from 1 species